rnacentral:lncRNA from 1 species
GAGAUUACAGAACUGGAUGUUCUCGGAUUUGUGCAAAUCUGAUGCUGAGUACCGGUAACUGUUGUCGAGUACCGGUAUCGAGCUCGAGUACCGGUACUGCAUCGGGCUGAUAUCGGUACCCAGUGUGCGAGACCGCGGAUUGAGGGGCCGAGUAUCGGUAUUCAAGCUGAGUAUCGGUACUUCAGCUGGUAAAAUGAGUUGGUGAGGGAUAUUUUGGUCUUUU